rnacentral:rRNA from 1 species
UACGUAGGGUGCGAGCGUUAAUCGGAAUUACUGGGCGUAAAGCGUGCGCAGGCGGUUUUUUAAGACAGGCGUGAAAUCCCCGGGCUUAACCUGGGAACUGCGCUUGUGACUGGAAGGCUAGAGUACGGCAGAGGGGGGUGGAAUUCCAGGUGUAGCGGUGAAAUGCGUAGAUAUCUGGAGGAACACCGGUGGCGAAGGCGGCAUCCUGGACCGACACUGACGCUGAGGAGCGAAAGCCAGGGGAGCAAAGCGGG